rnacentral:rRNA from 1 species
ACAUGUGGACAGUAUGGGAGUGAGAAUGUUGGCAUGAGUAGCGAGAUGUGGGUGAGAAUCCCACAGGCCGUAAACCCAAGGUUUCCAGGGGAAGGUUCGUCCGCCCUGGGUUAGUCGGGACCUAAGCUGAGGCCGAAAGGCGUAGGUGAUGGACAACAGGUUGAUAUUCCUGUACUACCGAUAACCGUUUGAGAGAAGGGAUGACACAGUAGGAUAAGCUAAGCACACUGUUGGUUAUGUGUGCCCAAGCAUUGAGGCAGUCAAAGCAGG